UAUGCGGAAAAUCCACAGAGAAAUAUGAAAUGAGAUGUAGGCUUUUGGGAGCCUACACAAAUGUCAUCUACAAUUAUACUCUAGUUCCCUAGAUUUUAUUUUUUCAUGUUUCCAAACUAAACUGUGGUCAUGUGGUCACUGGUUACAAUAAUGGUAGACUUUUGACUCCUAUGCAUCAUGGUGGUACACCGAUAAAUCACAUUGUGAUAUAUCAACGAGAAAAUCCACAGCAGCUGUGAUGAGGAUUGAAACCUAUGUGCUGGGUAUUCCCAAAUGCACGCUCUAGAUGACUAUGUCAUGACAUGGUCAAAAGAAUUGCAACCUGGUGUACUACUGCACCCUCGACGAUUCCCAAUUCUUCCACUGAAGCCUAACCCCUCCACUGAAGCCUAACCGGGAUUUCACACAAUUUCUCCCCACGCACUCUGGCUCUGUCUUCAAGUAGAAUUACUGGACUAAAGAGCCAGAGUGCAUGGGGGGAAUCAUCUCAUCUCUCUCAACUCUUUUUCCUAUCCCUCUCUCUCCCCAUAUUCCCCCUCUGCAACUUUUGCCUCCAAGAUCCACCUCCCUCUCUCCCAAUAUCGUCCCCUCUCCCAAUCACUUCACUCUUCUCCCCUAACAUCCCCUCUCUCAAUCUCGCCCCUCCCCACCCCUCUUUUACGCUCUCCAUCUGUCUUUCUUCUUUUCAAACAUCCCUUCUCUUCGCCUUCUCCUUCCCUCUAAUCAGAUAUCCUUCUUCCUUUUCUUCUUUUUCCCCCUCUCACUUUCAGAAAAUAUAUAUAAUGAAGUAUUGAAAUUGGUGAAUAAAUCUAUGGUCAACAAAAAUCAAUAUUUCAGAUUUGAUUUCAUGAAAAUUGCCCAGGAUUUUUGAGGGGGGUGGGGGUGGGGGGUUAGAUGCCAAUAUUUCUUAAAGUGUAGCACUGGAGCCACUCCCAAGUGGCCUAUGACAGUUCCAUACCACAUAUGCUUCAUAUUUGAAAGUAGGGUGAGGCUAGCUCCAAAUAUCUGGCCUUCAACUUUGGAUGGACAAACAAGCAAACAGACAUUCUCUCUUAUAGGUAUAAUUUUUUUGUUCGUUUUAUAUAUGAGACAACCAUAUAUCAAGUCUACACAAAAAAUUCUUGAAAUUCUAGAUGUGUUCUUGUUAGUUUAUCUGUGUUUAGAGAAAACAAAAGUGUAUUGGUUGCAGACGGUUUAUUUAUAUGAAAUGAUGUUAAUCAAUUAAGCACCUUGGAAAGAUUAAAAUGUAAUAGAGAACUAUACUAAAUCUUCCAAGGUAUAUUUGGCUAAAUUUCUUUGGCUAAUAUCUUUUGUUUAUCAUGGAAAAUGUAUUUGUAGGCUCUACUACUGCUCAUAAUAUUGGUCCAGUUUUAAGGGCUACUGUCUUUUAUCAUAGUGCAGUUCUAUAUAAAGAUAAUGAGUGAAAACUUUGACAGAAGAAACAAUAAACAAAGUUAUAAAACUUUAACUGAAAGGUUUAAGAUUUAACUUCUUCGGUGCUUCAGUGUUUGGAGUUCAUCAGUGACUAUCAUUUUAUCUAAUAUAAAAAAUAUUGUGUAUAAAGAGAUUUGUAUAUAUGUAAAUAGUUUACCCAAUAUAAUUUUUUUUUGUCAAUAGUGUGUCAAUAGUCCAGACAUUUAAUUUCUUGGUCGCAACAAAAAGACAAGGACUAGGUACCUAUCUCUGUGGGGUGAGGAGAUUGCAGUUCUCCAUGAAGUGGCUAUCAAAAUAUGUAAAAAAAAUAAACAGGAUUUUUUUUUUUUUUUUUUUUUUUUUUUUAUUAUUAUAGAAAACUUGCAGUAAACUUCAGUAGAUUAAAUGAACUGAAGUUCAGCAAAAUAUAUUAAAUAAAUGCAAGAAAUUUGACCAAAUUCCAUUUAUUAGAAUUGUUUUAUUUUAUAACCUAGCAGUGUAAUAUUUUCCUGUACCGUACUUAAUUGCAUUUACUACAUUUUUAUCUAAUAGUUUCAUAAAAAGUAAUUAUGUAUAAUGUUUUGUAAAUGUUUGUAAAAAUUAAGUUAUGAUAAUUUGUGAUUCAAAUUAAUUAACAUUCACCCUUCUUUAUUUGGGGGGUGGAGGGGGGGUGGGUGUUUAUAAAUAUGUCUUGUAUGAGUUCUUCUACAGUCUUCUUGUACAUUCCUGUUUUAUAUAGAAAUUAUGUGAUGACAUUUCCACUGCAAUAAAUUGAUCUUUACAU